rnacentral:rRNA from 1 species
AUUGAACGCUGGCGGCAGGCCUAACACAUGCAAGUCGAGCGGAUGAAGGGAGCUUGCUCCUGGAUUCAGCGGCGGACGGGUGAGUAAUGCCUAGGAAUCUGCCUGGUAGUGGGGGAUAACGUCCGGAAACGGGCGCUAAUACCGCAUACGUCCUGAGGGAGAAAGUGGGGGAUCUUCGGACCUCACGCUAUCAGAUGAGCCUAGGUCGGAUUAGCUAGUUGGUGGGGUAAAGGCCUACCAAGGCGACGAUCCGUAACUGGUCUGAGAGGAUGACCAGUCACACUGGAACUGAGACACGGUCCAGACUCCUACGGGAGGCAGCAGUGGGGAAUAUUGGACAAUGGGCGAAAGCCUGAUCCAGCCAUGCCGCGUGUGUGAAGAAGGUCUUCGGAUUGUAAAGCACUUUAGGUUGGGAGGAAGGGCAGUAAGUUAAUACCUUGCUGUUUUGACGUUACCAACAGAAUAAGCACCGGCUAACUUCGUG